GAUGAACGCUAGCUACAGGCUUAACACAUGCAAGUCGAGGGGAAACGGCAUUGAGUGCUUGCACUCUUUGGACGUCGACCGGCGCACGGGUGAGUAACGCGUAUCCAACCUUCCCAUUACUGUGGGAUAACCUGCCGAAAGGCAGACUAAUACCGCAUAGUCUUCGAUGACGGCAUCAGAUUUGAAGUAAAGAUUUAUCGGUAAUGGAUGGGGAUGCGUCUGAUUAGCUUGUUGGCGGGGUAACGGCCCACCAAGGCGACGAUCAGUAGGGGUUCUGAGAGGAAGGUCCCCCACAUUGGAACUGAGACACGGUCCAAACUCCUACGGGAGGCAGCAGUGAGGAAUAUUGGUCAAUGGACGGAAGUCUGAACCAGCCAAGUAGCGUGCAGGAUGACGGCCCUAUGGGUUGUAAACUGCUGUUGUAUGGGGAUAAAGUUAGGGACGUGUCCCUAUUUGCAGGUACCAUACGAAUAAGGACCGGCUAAUUCCGUGCCAGCAGCCGCGGUAAUACGGAAGGUCCAGGCGUUAUCCGGAUUUAUUGGGUUUAAAGGGAGCGUAGGCUGGAGAUUAAGUGUGUUGUGAAAUGUAGACGCUCAACGUCUGAAUUGCAGCGCAUACUGGUUUCCUUGAGUACGCACAACGUUGGCGGAAUUCGUCGUGUAGCGGUGAAAUGCUUAGAUAUGACGAAGAACUCCGAUUGCGAAGGCAGCUGACGGGAGCGCAACUGACGCUUAAGCUCGAAGGUGCGGGUAUCAAACAGG
rnacentral:rRNA from 1 species